rnacentral:rRNA from 1 species
GAGUUUGAUCAUGGCUCAGGACGAACGCUGGCGGCGUGCCUAAUACAUGCAAGUCGAGCGGAUCUUCAUUAGCUUGCUUUUGAAGAUCAGCGGCGGACGGGUGAGUAACACGUGGGCAACCUGCCUGUAAGACUGGGAUAACUUCGGGAAACCGGAGCUAAUACCGGAUAAUCCUUUUCCUCUCAUGAGGAAAAGCUGAAAGACGGUUUCGGCUGUCACUUACAGAUGGGCCCGCGGCGCAUUAGCUAGUUGGUGAGGUAACGGCUCACCAAGGCGACGAUGCGUAGCCGACCUGAGAGGGUGAUCGGCCACACUGGGACUGAGACACGGCCCAGACUCCUACGGGAGGCAGCAGUAGGGAAUCUUCCGCAAUGGACGAAAGUCUGACGGAGCAACGCCGCGUGAGCGAUGAAGGCCUUCGGUCGUAAAGCGUCUG